AGGAGCUGCACCUAUNGAAUNUAAGCGGAAGGACGGGUGAGUAACACGUGGGUAACCUACCUAUAAGACUGGAAUAACUUCGGGAAACCGGAGCUAAUGCCGGAUAACAUAUAGAACCGCAUGGUUCUAUAGUGAAAGAUGGUUUUGCUAUCACUUAUAGAUGGACCCGCGCCGUAUUAGCUAGUUGGUAAGGUAAUGGCUUACCAAGGCGACGAUACGUAGCCGACCUGAGAGGGUGAUCGGCCACACUGGAACUGAGACACGGUCCAGACUCCUACGGGAGGCAGCAGUAGGGAAUCUUCCGCAAUGGGCGAAAGCCUGACGGAGCAACGCCGCGUGAGUGAUGAAGGUUUUCGGAUCGUAAAACUCUGUUAUUAGGGAAGAACAAAUGCGUAAGUAACUGUGCGCAUCUUGACGGUACCUAAUCAGAAAGCCACGGCUAACUACGUGCCAGCAGCCGCGGUAAUACGUAGGUGGCAAGCGUUAUCCGGAAUUAUUGGGCGUAAAGCGCGCGUAGGCGGUUUCUUAAGUCUGAUGUGAAAGCCCACGGCUCAACCGUGGAGGGUCAUUGGAAACUGGGAAACUUGAGUGCAGAAGAGGAAAGUGGAAUUCCAUGUGUAGCGGUGAAAUGCGCAGAGAUAUGGAGGAACACAAGUGGCGAAGGCAACUUUCUGGUCUGUAACUGACGCUGAUGUGCGAAAAGCGUGGGAUCAAACACAGGAUUAAAUUCCCUGGUUAUUCCACCGCCGUAAACAAUAUGNUUAUUGUUAGGGGGUUUCCGCCCUUUAUUGCUCUACCCAUUAGCAACUCGCCCUGGGAAANCAACGAGGUAAAANCAAAGAAUUGACGGACCUCCAAA
rnacentral:rRNA from 1 species